rnacentral:rRNA from 1 species
AGCAGUAGCCGCGGUAAUACGGAGGGUGCAAGCGUUAAUCGGAAUUACUGGGCGUAAAGCGCACGCAGGCGGUUUGUUAAGUCAGAUGUGAAAUCCCCGAGCUUAACUUGGGAACUGCAUUUGAAACUGGCAAGCUAGAGUCUUGUAGAGGGGGGUAGAAUUCCAGGUGUAGCGGUGAAAUGCGUAGAGAUCUGGAGGAAUACCGGUGGCGAAGGCGGCCCCCUGGACAAAGACUGACGCUCAGGUGCGAAAGCGUGGGGAGCAAACAGGAUUAGAUACCCCUGUAGUCCCUGUCUCUUAUAC